AUGGCUGCCAGAGACGGUGUCAACAGAUUACAGAAGAAAGCCUUUGUUGCUGCACUGACCCGAGCACAAGCCAAGGCCCAACUGCUGCCGGAUCCAAAGGAUACUGACACGCAGAAGCCUUCUGAACUAAAGCAAGACCAGGAACCAACUCAGACCCAAACACAACCAAAGAGGCCACCAGCAGGAUCAACUGUCCAAGAACUGGUGGAUGUCAAGCGGUUCAGUAACCUAAGCCGACUUGUCAAAACAGUCGCCUGGAUCCGGAGGGCAGCAAGGAUGUUCAUGAAAGGGAACAAGCAAACUGCAAACAAUCCAAAGUGGGAGGCAGUGUCGUUUUCAAAAGUCAUCUCAGUGACAGAGAGGGAAGAUGCCCUAAAAUACAUCUUCCUUGCGGCACAGCAAAGUGCAUUCUUCCCAAGCACAACCACAGACAGGCUGGUGGUGUACAGAGACCAAGGGACUGGAUUGUUGGUCUGUGGGGGUCGUGUGCAGAUCUUCAAUGAAGAUAAAGUUGCUGUCCCCAUCUUGCCUUACGAAGCCUGGGUGUCGACACUGUUAGCACGAGAAGCCCACGAGGAGAACCACGAUGGAGUGGCCGGGACCUUGCUCAAGAUGAGAAGAAGAGCAUGGGUCGUGAAAGGUCGGAGAAUUGCUCAAAAAGCGGUCGAAAACUGCAUGUUCUGCAGGAAAACUAAAGCAAAAAGAUGCCAGCAAAUAAUGGGUGAUCUACCUCCAGAGAGGACAGAACCAGCUGCCCCAUUCCACUACACAACAGUCGACCUCUUCGGACCCUACCAAGUCAGGGAUGAUGUAAAGAAAAGAGUGUCACUGAAGGUUUGGGGAAUUGUGUUUUGUUGCAUGGCCUCCAGAGCUAUUCACACCGAUCUGGUGAACUCUCAGUCCACAGAGAGUUUUCUGUUUGCCUACCAGAGGUUCACAGCACUAAGAGGUCAUCCAAAGAAAAUCUGGUCAGAUCCUGGGACCAACUUCAUUGGGGCUAAGCCAGUCCUAGAAGAACAGUACCGAUUCCUUGCCAAUCUUGACAAAGCUACCCUGGAGGAGAGAACUGCCAAGGAUGGCACAGAAUGGUCGUGGAAGAUUCAUCCAGCCGAUUCUCCACACCGGAAUGGUGCCGCAGAAGCUGCUGUGCGCAUUGUCAAGAGAGCACUGCAGAGUCUUGGAGGAGAGUCCGGCCUAAGUUGGAGUGAAUUCCAAACAACUCUCUACACGGCUGCCAAUCUUGCAAAUGAAAGACCAAUUGACGCCAGGACACAGAGCCGAGAAGACAGCGUCCAGUUCAUCACUCCUAACUGUCUCCUGCUCGGACGAGCAUCACAGGGUGGAGAUGUCAGAACAUUCGACUUCAGUGACUAUCCCUACAAAAGGCUUAGAGAAAUGCAAGCGCAAGUUAAUAAGUUCUGGAGGAACUGGAGUCAACUUGCUGGUCCUAACUUAUUCGUAAGAAACAAAUGGCAUACCGCCAAGAGAAAUGUCGCAGUCGGGGACAUCGUCUGGAUGGCGGACCAAAACGCCCUUAGGGGUCAGUUCAGGAUUGCAAGAGUGGUUAGCGUCAACUCGGACAGCAAAGGAGUUGUGAGGGACGUCAAUGUCAGAACCUUCCCAAGCUACCCCGUUCCUGUCACAAGGCCUACCAGAGCAAAAGUAAUUCACCGAACAUCUAAGAAAUUCAAAGAAAAGAUCCCAGCAGCAGUUCUUCACAGAGACGUAAGGCGACUAGUGGUCUUGCUUCCCACCGAAGAACAGAACUAA
ensembl:lncRNA